CCGCGGGCCCCGCCGCGUCCUGCGGGGACGCGCCACCUUAAGCGGGCGCCGGCGGACGGGACGCUCGGGGCCGGCGGGGCCGGGCGGCAGCUCCGCCAGCCGGGGACCGCCGAGGCCCCGCCGGCGCCUCCCGCCCGCCCGCUCCCGCCUCCUCCCUGCCCCCGCCCCCGGCCCCCAUGGGGGGCGAGCGGAGACCCCGCGGCCGGCGGGCCGCCCCCCCUGCCCGCCCGCCCGACGGCAGCCGGCUUCGCCCCGCCUGAGCCGCUCGGCGGCCCCGCCGACCCCCCGCCUCCGCGCGGACUCCGCGGCCCGGCCGCCCUCCCGCUGCCGGCGUCGAGGCGAGGGACUCCCGAGGACCCCCGGAACCCGGCGGGGGGAGCUCCCCCGCCAGGGGCGGGGAGACGGGCGGGGAGCAGGGGCCGGGGAGCGGGGGGGCCGGGGCGGGGGCCUGGGCCCUCAGGAUGUUCCCGCAGGGACGGCACCCGACCCCCCUCCAGCCCGGGCAGCCCUUCAAGUUCUCGGUCCUGGAAAUCUGCGACCGCAUCAAGGAGGAAUUCCAGUUCCUGCAGGCUCAGUACCACAGCCUGAAGCUGGAAUGUGAGAAGCUGGUGAGUGAGAAGACAGAGAUGCAGAGACAUUAUGUCAUGUACUAUGAGAUGUCGUACGGACUGAACAUUGAAAUGCACAAGCAGGCAGAGAUUGUCAAGAGACUGAGUGCCAUCUGCGCCCAGAUUAUACCCUUUCUGACGCAGGAGCACCAGCAGCAGGUCCUGCAGGCUGUGGAGCGGGCCAAGCAGGUGACCAUGGGGGAGCUGAACAGCAUCGUUGGGCAGCAGCAGCUUCAGCAUCUCUCCCACCAUGCAUCCCCCAUCCCGCUGACACCCCACCCCUCCAGCAUGCAGCCUUCUAGCCUGAGCGGGGUCAGCGGCACCUCGGGGCUCCUGGCCCUCUCAGGGGCAUUGAUGGCACAGUCUCACCUGGCUGCCAAGGAGGACAGAGUGGCCCAGGAUGGGGAGAACAGAGAGCGCACCCCGAGCCGGGGCAAAGUGUCCAGCCCUUCUGCUGUUACUCUGAGCAGAGCCCAGUGCUUCUGCCCUGGCUGCUGGGGCAGCCCAGUUCCUCUGAGCGGUUCUGCUUCCCCUCCCGAAAGCCUGCAGGAUGAGGAACGGACGGGAGGCACGGGGCUGAAGCGGAAGCGGGAGGAGAAGGACCUGCCUGGGCAUUACGAUAGCGAUGGGGACAAGAGUGACUACAACCUUGUGGUGGAUGAGGACCCCCCCUCGGAGCCUGGCAGCCCCGGCCGUGCACCCAGUAGCCGGCUCCCGCCAGCCCGCCGGGAGAUGCCCGAGAGCCCUGCCUCCAUUGCCUCCAGCCGGAGCACGACGCCCCUCAAGCCGAAGGACCAGAGUCUGACCGACCCUCCAGCCAGCGCUCCCACCUCCAAGCCCGUCGCUUCCUCGCCGCCCCGCGACUCCCUCACACCCGGCCCUGGGCCCAGCUCGGCCGCCUUGCUCCGGCAGCCCCCUGCCAAGGCACCUGCCACCGACACCAUCACUCUCCGCAGCCCACUGAGCAUGUCCAGCCCCUACACAUCCUCCUUCGGGAUGGUGCCUCAUGCCACCCUCAAUGGGGAGCUCCCAGCCUCCAGCAUGUACAUGGGCAUCCACCUCUCGCCGCAGGUCAGCAGCGCCAUGAUGUACGGCCGGUCUGCGAUGGUGGCUUUUGAGUCGCACCCUCACCUGAGGGCUUCCACCAUCUCAUCUUCACUCCCCACCAUCCCUGGAGGGAAACCCGCCUACUCCUUCCACGUCAGCGCCGACGGGCAGAUGCAGCCGGUGCCUUUCCCACCCGAUGCCCUCAUCGGCUCCGGCAUCCCCCGCCACGCUCGGCAGCUUCACACCCUGACCCACGGCGAGGUGGUCUGCGCCGUCACCAUCAGCAAUUCCACGCAGCAUGUCUACACCGGGGGCAAGGGCUGUGUGAAGGUGUGGGAUGUGGGGCAGCCAGGCACCAAGACGGCUGUGGCUCAGCUGGACUGUUUGAACCGCGACAACUACAUCCGCUCCUGCAAGCUGCUGCCUGACGGCCGGAGCCUUAUCGUGGGGGGGGAGGCCAGCACCCUCUCCAUCUGGGACCUGGCAGCCCCAACGCCCCGCAUCAAGGCCGAGCUCACCUCCUCUGCCCCCGCCUGCUAUGCCCUGGCCAUCAGCCCCGACGCCAAAGUCUGCUUCUCCUGCUGCAGUGAUGGCAACAUCGUGGUGUGGGACCUGCAGAACCAGACCAUGGUGAGUUUCAAGGCCACACAGAUGGUGCCAGCUGCAUCGACAUCUCUAACUAUGGCACCAAGCUGUGGACAGGGGGGCUGGACAACACGGUACGGUGCUGGGACCUGCGGGAAGGGCGUCAGCUGCAGCAGCAUGACUUCAGCUCCCAGAUCUUCUCCCUGGGGUACUGCCCAACAGGAGAGUGGCUGGCAGUGGGCAUGGAGAGCAGCAACGUGGAGAUCCUGCAUGUCACCAAACCUGAGAAGUACCAGCUGCACCUCCAUGAGAGCUGCGUCCUCUCCCUCAAAUUCGCCUCCUGCGGGAAGUGGUUCGUGAGCACAGGGAAGGACAACCUGCUGAAUGCCUGGCGGACACCCUACGGAGCCAGCAUCUUCCAGUCUAAAGAGUCCUCCUCUGUGCUGAGCUGUGACAUCUCCAUCAACGACAAAUUCAUCGUUACGGGCUCUGGCGACAAGAAGGCCACCGUGUAUGAGGUGGUGUACUGAGGCCCCGUCAGUCACCAUCCCUCAUCCAUCAGGGAAGGGGUCAGGUAUUGCCAAAAGCCACUGGGGCUAGUGGAGGCCUCCCAUGCUGGGCCAGCCCUCCUGCAGCCCUGCUUUCCCUCCUCCUCCUCUCCUUUCAGCCACCCUCCCAGUUCCUGCCCAAUGUGUUACAGAGGUGAAGGGGAGAGCUGGAGGUGAGCACUUGUCAUGGCCAGGCAUCCCCUGAGGCUGGGCAGCGCAGGGGCUGGUCUGAGCAUCCUACAGCCUGUCUGUCCGUCAGGAUGGCAAGAUGAGGCCAAGAGUGACGGAGAUAGUGUUGCUCCUGAAGUAUUGCUACUGAUUUAAUAGCACCCAUUUUCUGCUGUGAAACAGCUGUAAAUUAUCAGUGAAGAAAUGUAUUUAACUGUGUUUUCAAUCCCUUACUAAUAAAAAAGAACAAAAGAGUG